CCUACGGGAGGCAGCAGUGGGGAAUAUUGGGCAAUGGAGGAAACUCUGACCCAGCAACGCAGCGUGAAUGAUGAAGGUCCUCGGAUUGUUAAGCUCUUUUCUAAGGGAAGAAGAAAGUGACGCUACCUUAGGAAUAAGCCUCGGCUAACUACGUGCCAGCAGCCGCGGUAAUACGUCGGCGGCAAGCGUUAUCCGGAAUGACUGGGCGUAAAGGGUGCGUAGGUGGUUUGACAAGUUAGUAGCGUAACUCCGGGGCUCAACCUCGGCACUGCUACCAAAACUGUCGGACUUGAGUGCAGUGGAGGCAAAUGGAAUUCCUAGUGUAGCGGUGGAAUGCGUAGAUAUUAGGAGGAACACCAGUGGCGAAGGCGAUUUGCUGAACUGUAACUGACACUGAGGCACGAAAGCGUGGGGAGCAAACAGGAUUAGAUACCCCAGUAGUC
rnacentral:rRNA from 1 species